UGAACAGUGAGGGUGAGAGGCCCAUAGUCCCCUCUCUGUGCUGUAAGUGUAAGCAGGAUCUUGCAGUGUGGUGCUGAGAGCUGAAGGAGGUGCCUGAGGAAGAGAGAAAAACCGCAGGGAAAUGACAGCAAAGCCUUCUUUUAUAGAACAGAGAAUUACAGGCCAGCUGCAAGAGAGAGUGUAGCACUGAUACUGUUGGGCAGUAGAAGUGUUUGUGAAGACAGGACAUGAUACUAACAAGAGAGUGAUGUGUCCAAGUUUGUGUCCUUUUGAAGAUAAGUAGGAAGAAGAAAAGUGAGAAAAGAGAGAAGACAGGAAGAAAGGAAGAGGAAGAGGAAAAGGAAAAGGAAGAAAGAGGAAGAAAUCAAGGCAACAGAGGAGUAUCCUGUUAUUGCACUGUGAUCACAUAUGAAAGCUAUCAUGUUAAUAAAUCAAAAAUUCCCACUGUAGACCAUGGUAAAUGACUACUAUAUGAUUCAAUUUUAGUAGGAGAGAUAAAUAAUAGUGUAGACACAUGCAAUAGUAUUGCAACUAAAUAAUGGGUUGAAAUCAACUCUACAGCAAAUAUAUCUUACAAGCUGAAACAUUUGGGGAAACAUAAUCUGAAACACUGGAUUCACAGGAGUGAAUCACACAGAAAAUGGAAAAGAACUAUCUGCAAGGAAGCAGUAAUGCUAAAAGGACUUCUCUAACGAAAAGAUACAUUCUUGGUGUCUCCAGAGACUUGUGUUUCCAGAGACCGGUGUCUUAUGCAAAAGUGUAAAGGGAGAACUCAGCAAGACCAAAGUGGGGAGAAUCUCAUGAAGACUGACUACCUUAAUGACGUGCCUUUAUGGGCCACAUCUUCUCAUCUGUCUACCAAAUAAAGAAAGUACAGCAGUAGCCUAUGUUAUUGAAAGACUAGAAAACUCUAAGACUAAGGUAUCAUCUUAUUCAAAGUCUUAUGAAAUCGACAAGACCAGUAUCAUGAGCAAGCCAGGCACGAUUAGAUUUUAAGGAGUAUUUCUAAGUGAAACUUAGAUUUCUCCAGGCAAUGUGCUUCACUGAAUCACUGAACUUGGACUAAGAAAUAAUACUGAUCAUAUUUCCAACUUCCUACCCCCAAAAUCUUGAUUGUGCUUCUGCCUCUGUAUACUUUCAUUCCUUUUCUUUCUUAUUUAUUUAAUUUGGAAAUCCUUCAAUAUAGAAAAUUAGCCAAGGACAAGGAGACAUGGUUUUGGAUGGAAUUUCUAGGUGCACUUAGCACACAGCAAUAAAUCUUGAACAUAAAAUUUAUUCACAGUGUAGGCUACUUAUUAUCAGUCAAGUCUAAACUCCAUUCUUAUCACUUUGGCUCUUUUGGUUUUAGUCAUAUAAAUACAGUUUGAGUAACGUUAUGUUCAUGAGGGAUAUUAUUAUUAUUUUUUUAGCUGGAUUUGAACAAAACAUUGUAACUGCUCUACUUUGCCACAGAUGCAAUUUUCCACUGUAAUUGUGCCCAAUAUUCUAUUAUAAGUUCUCUUAUAUAAACUAAUUAGUAUUCUAGAUGUAGUGCAACACUGAUACUUAUGCAGGAAGCAAACUCACCCAGGAAGUUUAUAGAGUACAAGAUUCUAUUAGGAAUGUCCCUAAAAUAUUCUGUUAAUGCAAUUCAAUUAAACAAUUUUAAACAGAAUUAUCAUGUGGCCUUGGACAUCUGUGGUUAGCACAACACAACACAUAAAAUACUGAAUUCUAAGGAAAAUAUUGUUUUGUCAGUUAGAAGCACAAAGCAUGAAUUUCCACAGAGGCGAGAUUAUGGGAGAUUAAUCUUUCAGAGCUACAAGAUGACAUAUGCAGUCAGCAUGCAGACUAGCAUGUGUACUAUAAGCACUGAAAAAGAAAAGAAUUUCUUCAGAAGUCUGUGCUUUGUUCCUUAAAAGCCAUUCCUUUUAUAAUAUCUUUUUACACCUUUUCUAUCAAACAAAUUCAAGAAACCUAGUGCAACUGGCAUUUACAAUACAAUUCACCAUCGACAGUCACCUAAUCAAAUGGUAGAUACUUGAAGAUGUUUUUAUUAAAUAUCUUAUGUCAUAUUGAAAUUGUAUCAUUUGGAUGAUGAUACAAAAUUAAAAAGUUAAACAAUAUUCUUAGUUAUAUUUGCAGUUUCAAUGAGUUUUUCUCAUAGUUGCUUAAGUGUAAAGCAUGCUAGGCCACCUACUCUCCUUGCUUGGAGUCACGUUGGGGCUCACGCUCCACCAAAACCUCAUAUGGUUUUAGGUCUAUUUUCUCUACCUCUGAAUGACACCCACUUUCUCAUACAGCCUUAUCCGUUCUGCACUAACUUUUCCUCUGACCCAACUCUCUCCAUCUAAUCCAGAUUAUGAGCUAGUCUCCACCUUAUCUUCUAGCAUUUCUGAUUUCCACUUAAAUAAAACAUUUCCUAAACUGAACUGCUGGGGAGGCAUCCUUCAUGCCAUGGAAAAAGGCUGGCAGAGUAUCAAAAGGCCCCAAACUAUUGUAUCUGAUGGUGCUGCAGUAGAGGGAGCAACGCUGGUCUGAAGACAGGAAGAAUGGCUCCUCAGCCUUGCAUUCCUUCUCAGGCUUCUCAGAAGAUCUCCCCGUAACAGUGUCUAUCAAAUUCUGGAAGGGGAGACAAAGAAAGUAAGAGGUGGGAGAAGAAUGACAAGAAAAUGAGAUCCAGGAGGGAUUGGACAGGCAAAGAUUACAUAUAGAGAGAUUCCUUUAAGCAAUCAAACUCCUGUUUUGGGAUUAAGCACUGCAAAGUUGUGUCCAUGUCUUCUAUCUUCCCACUAAAGUGAUAAAGAUAGCAACUGACAGAGAUAAGAGUUUUAAGCCUUUUUCUACCUCCACAGUGAAUUGUUGACCUGUCUUUUUGAUGGUCUUU
ensembl:lncRNA